rnacentral:rRNA from 1 species
AUUGAACGCUGGCGGCAGGCCUAACACAUGCAAGUCGAGCGAGCGGCGGACGGGUGAGUAAUGUCUGGGAAACUGCCGGAUGGAGGGGGAUAACUACUGGAAACGGUAGCUAAUACCGCAUACCAUCAGAUGUGCCCAGAUGGGAUUAGCUAGUAGGUGGGGUAAUGGCUCACCUAGGCGACGAUCCCUAGCUGGUCUGAGAGGAUGACCAGCCACCCUGGAACUGAGACACGGUCCAGGCUCCGCCGGGAGGCAGCAGGGGGGAAUAUUGCACAGUGGGCGCAAGCCUGAUGCAGCCAUGCCGAGUGUAUGGAGAAGGCCUUCGGGUUGUAAAGUACUUUUAGCGAGGAGGCGUUACUCGCAGAAGAAGCACCGGCUAACUCCGUGCCAGCAGCCGCGGUAAUAC